UACGUAGGGGGCAAGCGUUAUCCGGAUUUACUGGGUGUAAAGGGAGCGUAGACGGCAGUGCAAGUCUGAAGUGAAAGCCCGGGGCUCAACCCCGGGACUGCUUUGGAAACUGUGCAGCUAGAGUGUCGGAGAGGCAAGCGGAAUUCCUAGUGUAGCGGUGAAAUGCGUAGAUAUUAGGAGGAACACCAGUGGCGAAGGCGGCUUGCUGGACGAUGACUGACGUUGAGGCUCGAAAGCGUGGGGAGCAAACAGG
rnacentral:rRNA from 1 species